AUGAACGCUGGCGGCGUGCUUAACACAUGCAAGUCGAACGGAAAGGCCCAAGCUUGCUUGGGUACUCGAGUGGCGAACGGGUGAGUAACACGUGGGUGAUCUGCCCUGCACUUCGGGAUAAGCCUGGGAAACUGGGUCUAAUACCGGAUAGGACCACAUUUUGGAUGGUGUGGUGGAAAGUUUUUCGGUGUGGGAUGAGCUCGCGGCCUAUCAGCUUGUUGGUGGGGUAAUGGCCUACCAAGGCGUCGACGGGUAGCCGGCCUGAGAGGGUGUACGGCCACAUUGGGACUGAGAUACGGCCCAGACUCCUACGGGAGGCAGCAGUGGGGAAUAUUGCACAAUGGGCGCAAGCCUGAUGCAGCGGCGCCGCGUGGGGGAUGACGGCCUUCGGGUUGUAAACUCCUUUCGCUAGGGACGAAGCGUUAUGUGACGGUACCUGGAGAGGAAGCACCGGCUAACUACGUG
rnacentral:rRNA from 1 species